GCGGAAGUGGUGAAAUUGGUAGACACGCUAGAUUUAGGUUCUAGUGCCGCAAGGUGUGAGAGUUCGAGUCUCUCCUUCCGCACCA
rnacentral:tRNA from 1 species